rnacentral:tRNA from 2 species
GGCUACGUAGCUCAGUUGGUUAGAGCACAUCACUCAUAAUGAUGGGGUCACAGGUUCGAAUCCCGUCGUAG